rnacentral:lncRNA from 1 species
UCUAGAGCUAUUUGAUCAAGAAAUUAUUUUCUGAAGUUUUAAAUUUUGUUCAUCAUGAGGCAGAACUUGUCAAAGAAGAAAGGACAAAAGAGUUAGGUAGAGGGUCUUACGCACAUAUUACACGGUUUCAGACAAAACAGUUAGGUUAAAAGAGAUAGACGGCUUUGGUAUAAGCUGAUGACAAGUUUUGGAUGAUGUGAGAAUGGUGAACACACUUAGAAAAGAAUGGUACAAGGAAGGAGGCAGAGCAAGAGAAAUAGUCCCUACCAUCUCUGUUUGUUUUUGUCUUACUAUCUUUCAAAAGCUUUAAUGAAUGUUCUUAAGAUCCCUACAAAAAGAGAGAGAGAUGAGGAGACAGAGUUAAUGGCGGUUGGAGACAGAAGAGAGAAGAGAGAGUC